GAUGAACGCUGGCGGCGUGCCUAAUACAUGCAAGUCGAGCGAACGGACGAGAAGCUUGCUUCUCUGGUGUUAGCGGCGGACGGGUGAGUAACACGUGGAUAACCUACCUAUAAGACUGGGAUAACUUCGGGAAACCGGAGCUAAUACCGGAUAAUAUUUUGAACCGCAUGGUUCAAAAGUGAAAGACGGUCUUGCUGUCACUUAUAGAUGGAUCCGGGCUGCAUUAGCUAGUUGGUAAGUUAACGGCUUACCAAGGCAACGAUGCAUAGCCGACCUGAGAGGGUGGUCGGCCACACUGGAGCUGAGACACGGUCCAGACUCCUACGGGAGGCAGCAGUAGGGAAUCUUCCGCAAUGGGCGAAAGCCUGGCGGAGCAACGCCGCGUGAGUGAUGAAGGUCUUCGGAUCGUAAAACUCUGUUAUUAGGGAAGAACAUAUGUGUAAGUAACUGUGCACAUCUUGACGGUACCUAAUCAGAAAGCCACGGCUAACUACGUG
rnacentral:rRNA from 1 species